rnacentral:tRNA from 1 species
GGGCCCGUAGCUCAGCGGCAGAGCACGCGGCUCAUAACCGCUUGGUCGUAGGUUCGAAUCCUACCGGGCCCA